ACCCUUUUUCCUGUCACUUGUUACAUGUUGCCCCAUCCCUGCACUUCUUGGUAAAUUGUAUUUGUCCUAAUACUCUAGCUUAAUCUUCUGCCUAGUUUGGCUUUGCAGAUGUUAGACCAGGAUAGUGUUCAUUGUUCUCAGCUAGAAAUAGCUGUACAAAAUAAGUAAUUGUACCUUACUGAACCCGUGUUCAGCAGUUGUCUACGAUCAUGAAAAUGCACUUCUUGUACGUCGCUUUGGAUAAAAGCGUCUGCCAAAUGAAUGUAAUGUAAUGUAAUAACCAGCUCCUUGGUUUUGGACUGUACAUUCUGUACAUGGUGAACUAUUCUGUUUCUUCAAUAUGUUAUUUUGUUUUGAGAAAUUUUCUUUUAGGGGAUAUGAGAGGUGAUAUAAUAUCUAUACUGUCAGUGUAUUAUUGCUACACUCAUUUGUUUCAAUUCUAGUGUGCAAGUUCCCACUCGACUCUUGUCAGAUUAUGUUUUGGCUCAGUGAGCAGAGAUCGUCAUCUAAAUUCAUACUGUAUGUAUGUAACUCUAUCUCUGCUGGCUUGCUAAUGUGUUUGGCAAAAUUGGCAGUUUACCCAUAGAGGAAUUUAAAUAUGAAUUGCAAAGGCACAUCUCUGCCUAACACAAUGUGGUGUGGUAACUGCUGCAUUACCCCAAACAGAGAGCUGUUUCAAAAUGGAAAUCAUAGACAAAACUGUUAGGAAGCCAGGCCACUUGGAAUGACAAAAUGUGUCUGAUGUAUUUUUUUCAAACAUCUAUUCCUGUUUGCCAUAAACUGGUUCAAAUCCCCAGGUUACAUCAAUACAGCAACGAGGAAAUAUAUUGGCUUCACCACUGUUUUGCUAAUAUUACAAAAUUGUGCCAGAAAGUUUGUUUUAAUCACUUGGCAACCAUUGCUCAAAACUCCUAAUGGAAUGGUUUGCUCCUGGGGUAUGUUGCAAUGUAAGCAGAUCAUAGUAUGUGUAUCCGGUGUUGCACAAUUAGGGUGAUUCGUGAGAAGCAAAUAUGUUCAUUAUGUUGCAGAAAGGAACAGUUUAGAUAGAGGGUCGUAAAGGCAUCAGCCUGGUUCAGUCUCCUGCCAAUGGCCAGUGUGCCAAGCUUAGAUAAAUUCAGUAUGUUUACUGACUGUGUGACUACAUCAUUGGUAUUAAAGGAUAUGGAACACUAAUGGCUAACUGGCAGAUGCUUGUAUUUUCAGUGGAAUUGUUUCUCAGAUGCUAACCUACCUUUAAUUGUUUUAUUUGCACACCUUUUGACAUUGUAAGCUGCAGAUUUUCACGUGAGCACAGUCUUUUGAAUGCAUAUUGUAAGAAUUCAUGCCUUGGCUUGAAAGCUAUGCAGUCUUUUCUGUAGGAUAUUUUCAUGGAUGUUCUCUUGCACUGUUUUGCUUAUCCCAGCUUUCCCGGCUAACUUGCAGUUGGCUGAAAAUGGUGACUGUGCUUCAUGGUUCUUUUGAAAAAAUGUAAGCCACUUUCUAUAAGUUCAUCCCGCCCCCACAAACCUUAGCACCACUGUCACUUUUUGACCCCAAAAAUGACAGAGGGCUAUUGAGUGUUCUCCACCAAGUUAGAAUCCUGACAGAGGGCAAAGGCUACAGCGUUUACGAAGGCCGUCCACAGAAGCUGUGACCUCAGUGACCGAAUGAGCUUGCACAGAUUCUUUAAUCUGGUCGUUCACACACUUAUUUUAACCCAGUUUAUAAUGUGUUUGUUCUAUCCAUUUACAAUGCUUAUUUGUGUUUGGAGGAAGUCCAUAAUGGAAAAACCUCAACCGGAUACAGCCAUUACAUUGAGGGUGUAAAACGGUAGUCAUAUAGAAUAUAUCAUUCAAAUGCAACGGUUUGUCAAAUGACCAGCUGUCGUGAGUGACCCUGAUAAGUACAGGGCUUUGCUAAACUGCUGACGGGUGCUGCUCUCGCUAAUGCCAUUUUUCAGUUUAACCGUUUCAGUGUCCCAUGAAGUCCUUGGCCUAGUUGCAUGCACUGCCAACAUCAUCUGGCUGCGUGGUCCCUGUGUAUCGAUUCAAACUCACUGCUCUGGCAGUGCCAACGGUUCAAGGACAAGUUUGGACUAACCUUGGCUGAAACCGUACAGAGAAUUGCGCAGCGCUGAUCUACUUCUUUCUGGAGCCACCUCCCAGUCACAGAAUUUGGAAAACUGGAUAUAUACUGAAGCAAUGCAGGUUAAGUACCGUGCUCAAGGGUACAAUGGCAGUAUCCUACCUGGGAAUUGAACCUGUGACCUUCCGGUUACAAGACCAAAUUUCAUAUCCUCAAAUGAAUAAAAAAAGAUUGUU